CCCUCCUGGUAAUGGGCAAAGGGACACCUUGUUGGUGGUGGUGUUCUUUUAUCAGUCAGAGGAAGAGCAAAUGGCAGUCCUUUGUUCACCCAGGCUUGAUGCCUUGCUUGAUGGCAAAAGCUGUCCUAUGCAUAGAGCUCAUAG